GACGAACGCUGGCGGCGUGCUUAACACAUGCAAGUCGUACGGUAAGGCCCUUUCGGGGGUACACGAGUGGCGAACGGGUGAGUAACACGUGAGUAACCUGCCCACAACUUUGGGAUAACGCUAGGAAACUGGUGCUAAUACUGGAUAUGUGCUCCUGCUGCAUGGUGGGGGUUGGAAAGCUCCGGCGGUUGUGGAUGGACUCGCGGCCUAUCAGCUUGUUGGUGGGGUAGUGGCCUACCAAGGCGGCGACGGGUAGCCGGCCUGAGAGGGUGACCGGCCACAUUGGGACUGAGAUACGGCCCAGACUCCUACGGGAGGCAGCAAUGGGGAAUAUUGCACAAUGGGCGCAAGCCUGAUGCAGCAACGCCGCGUGCGGGAUGACGGCCUUCGGGUUGUAAACCGCUUUCAGCAGGGACGAAGCUUUUUGUGACGGUACCUGCAGAAGAAGCACCGGCUAACUACGUG
rnacentral:rRNA from 1 species